AGUGAACGCUGGCGGUAGGCCUAACACAUGCAAGUCGAACGGCAGCACAGUAAGAGCUUGCUCUUACGGGUGGCGAGUGGCGGACGGGUGAGGAAUACAUCGGAAUCUACUUUUUCGUGGGGGAUAACGUAGGGAAACUUACGCUAAUACCGCAUACGACCUACGGGUGAAAGCAGGGGAUCUUCGGACCUUGCGCGGUUGAAUGAGCCGAUGUCGGAGUAGCUAGUUGGCGGGGUAAAGGCCCACCAAGGCGACGAUCCGUAGCUGGUCUGAGAGGAUGAUCAGCCACACUGGAACUGAGACACGGUCCAGACUCCUACGGGAGGCAGCAGUGGGGAAUAUUGGACAAUGGGCGCAAGCCUGAUCCAGCCAUACCGCGUGGGUGAAGAAGGCCUUCGGGUUGUGAAGCCCGUUUGUUGGGAAAGAAAAGCAGCAGGUUAAUACCCCGCUGUUCUGACGGUACCCAAAGAAUAAGCACCGGCUAACUUCGUG
rnacentral:rRNA from 1 species